rnacentral:rRNA from 1 species
CUACGGGGGGCUGCAGCCGAGGAACUUCUGCAAUGCACGAAAGUGUGACAGAGCGAGCCAGAGUGCUUUUCUAUAAUUGAGAAGCUUUUGUGAGAUGUAAAAAAUCUUACGAAUAAGGACUGGGAGAGACUGGUGCCAGCCGCCGCGGUAAUACCAGCGGUCCAAGUCGCAUCCACUUUUAUUGGGUCUAAAACAUCCGUAGCUUGUUAGGUAAGUCUCUUGUGAAAUCUGGCAUCUUAAGUGUCGGGCGUGCAAGAGAUACUGCUUGGCUAGAGACUGGGAGACGUGGGGAGUACGACUAGGGUAGCGGUAAAAUGCGUUGAUCCUUUUCGGACUAACAAUAGCGAAGGCACCUUACGAGAACAGAUCUGACAGUGAGGGAUGAAGGCUAGGGUCGCAAAACGGAUUAGAUACCCCAGUAGUC